GACCUGCCCUAGAGCUCGGGAUACCCCCUCGAAAGGGGGGCUAAUACCGGAUACGUUCCUCGGUCGAAAGAUCGGGGAGGAAAGGUGGCGCAAGCUGCCGCUCUUGGAGGGGCUCGCGGCCUAUCAGCUAGUUGGCGGGGUAACGGCCCACCAAGGCUAUGACGGGUAGCUGGUCUGAGAGGACGACCAGCCACACGGGGACUGAGACACGGCCCCGACUCCUACGGGAGGCAGCAGUGGGGAAUUUUCCGCAAUGGGCGAAAGCCUGACGGAGUGACGCCGCGUGUGGGACGAANGCCUUCGGGUCGUAAACCACUGUCAGUGGGAAAGAUGGGUGUCGGGGCUAAUACCUCCGGCAUCUGACGGUACCUGCAGAGGAAGCCCCGGCCAACUCUGUGCCAGCAGCCGCGGUAAGACAGAGGGGGCAAGCGUUGCUCGGAAUUACUGGGCGUAAAGGGCGCGUAGGCGGGAUGGCAAGUCGGUCGUGAAAUCCCUCGGCUCAACCGAGGAACGUCGAUCGAUACUGCUGUUCUUGAGGAUUGCAGAGGAGACUGGAAUUCCCGGUGUAGCGGUGAAAUGUGUAGAGAUCGGGAGGAACACCGGUGGCGAAGGCGGGUCUCUGGGCAAUUCCUGACGCUGAGGCGCGAAAGCGUGGGGAGCAAACGGGAUUAGAUACCCCGGUAGUCCACGCUGUAAACGAUGACGACUAGGUGUGGGGGGGUUCAGUCCCUUCCGUGCCGCAGCUAACGCAUUAAGUCAUCCGCCUGGGGAGUACGCCGCAAGGUUGGAAACUCAAAAGAAUUGACGGGGGGCCCGCACAAACCGGUGGAAGCAUGUGGGUUCAAAUUCCU
rnacentral:rRNA from 1 species